UAAGUAGUAAAAGCCCUAGUAAGGGCUCACUACUUCAAGACGAACACUGCUUCCUCAAGGAAGCCGGCCAGGAACUGAUAUGCUCACAAAAAACACUCAUAUCCCACAAGGAUUGGUGGUCGUUCUCCUACUUCGAACACAACUCGUCCGUACUAAUGUACGAGCCUAGUCCCAAGAAAAGGGGGGGAAUCAUAUAGGUUUUAGGACAAGUCCCAAGAAACUUGUGCCUAUUUAAGUACAGUUCAAAGAUUGUCCAGGUUCUCGGACGAGUCACAUUUGAACUUGUAAUUAUUUGUUUGAAGUUCAAACGUUGUCCAAUGUUCUGAUGGUUAGACCUAAAAAAAUAAAAAAAAAUAAAAA